rnacentral:rRNA from 1 species
AUUGAACGCUGGCGGCAGGCCUAACACAUGCAAGUCGAGCGAGCGGCGGACGGGUGAGUAAUGUCUGGGAAACUGCCUGCUGGCGGGGGAUAACUACUGGAAACGGUAGCUAAUACCGCAUACCAUCAGAUGUGCCCAGAUGGGAUUAGCUAGUAGGUGGGGUAACGGCUCACCUAGGCGACGAUCCCUAGCUGGUCUGAGAGGAUGACCAGUCACACUGAAACUGAGAAACGGUGCAGAAUCGUAAGGGAGGCAGAAGUGGGAAAUAUUGGACAAUGAGCGCAAGCCUGAUGCAGGCAAGCGGCGUAUGUGAAGAGGGCCUUCGGGGUGUAAAGCACUUUAAGCGGGGGGGCGUUACCCGAAGAAGAAGCACCGGCUAACUCCGUGCCAGCAGCCGCGGUAAUAC